UGGUCAUCAAUGACUGACUGAAGAGGAAACAACUUGUAGGCUGGGAGAACCCAAUAUUAACCUAACGACUUGUUUAAAUAAGAGCCCUUCAACAUGAUUUUAGAUAUGUCAGAGAUGUCAAUUUCAUCCCUCUAAAGAAAAUGGAAAACAGCAGUGGUGACUUUAAAAUAUGUUCUGAAGUUAUUUGACAUUACUCUUUUCAUAGGUGGAGCCUAAUUCCACGCCCCUUGAAUAUGGACCACUUAGUGACUUGCUUCUAAUGAACAGAAAGUAGUGGAAGUGUAACCUCCCAGCUAGGUAAUAAAAAUAAUCGCUUCUGCCUGCCUGCCUGCCUGUCUCUCUCCUCUCUCUUCUCUCUCUCUCUCUCUCCUCUCUCUCUCCCCCCCCACCCCUCUCUCAUCAUCUGGUCUGAGGGAAGCCAGUCACCAAGUGUGAGGACACUUAAGCAGCCAGUUGAGAAGUCCAUGUGGAAAGGAACUAAGGCCUUCCUCCAAUAACUAGGACCAACUUGUUAGCCAUGUGAAUGAGUCAUCUUGCAAGCAGAUCUUCCAGCCUCAGUCAGACCUUCAGAUGACUAUAGCCUCAACUGAAAACUUGACUGCAACUUCAUGAGU
rnacentral:lncRNA from 1 species